rnacentral:tRNA from 1 species
AGAAGCUUAGGAUUAACCUAAACCGAGGGCCUUCAAAGCCCUAGAAAAGAGCACCAAACCUCUUAGCUUCCG